AAUAAGUAAAAACAAAUAUUAGUUUGUUAUAGUAUCUUAUAAAAAUAAAAUAAAAUUUUAUAUUUUGGAUAAGUACAUCCCUUUUGUAUCAUGGUCUAAUAAAUUAAAAAAUGAAUAUUUAGAUCCGAAUCUCUUUGGUUAUAUUUUUUUUAGUAAUCAGAACUAAACUAUUAAAAGGUUUUCAUAGUUAAAAAUAAAUUAGGUAUAAAGAUUAUAAACCGGAAAGAGUUAUAUCUGAUUGAAGAGUUAUAUAAUUUAUUUUCUAAAUCUUUGGGUUAAUUUCAAAGAUUCAAAUAAAAAUAUAAUUUUUCUUAAAAUGUCUGAGAUGAGAAGUGUCUUUUGACUUAAAAAGUGUUAUAACUUUAUUAAAACUUUAUAUUAUGUUUUGUUUAUUAGUAUUCUUCAAAAAUAAUAAAUUACAAUAUUGAUAGAAUAAGUAUAUUAAAUUAAUUAUAGGAACUCAAUAUUUUUACAACUGUUUAUCAAAAACAUUUUCUUUAGAAUAUAUUUAAAGAUAAUACCUGCUCAAUGUUUAUUAUAAAUAGCUGCGGUAUUUUAACUGCACUAAGGUAGCAUAAUUAAUUGUCUUUUAAAUGGUGACUUGUUUGAAUGGUUUUAUGAGAAAAAGAUUUUCUUUAAAUUAUAUAGAAUUUAUAUUUUUGGUUAAAAUACCUAAUUUAUAAAGAAAGACGAGAAGACCCUGUUGAGUUUGACAAAGUUAUAUAUUUGUUAAAAUGGGAAAUUUAAUCUCUUUUUGAGAUUUUUUAGAUCCUAAAUAUUUAAGGAAAAAGGAUAAAAUUACCACAGGGAUAACAGGACUAUAUUUACUGAGAGUUCUAAUUGAAGUAAAUGUUUGUUACCUCGAUGUUGAAUCGAAAUAUCUUUUUGGUGCAGUAGCUAAUAAAGUAGGUCUGUUCGACCUUUAAAAUUUCACGUGAUUUGAGUUAAGACCGGCGUGAGCCAGGUUGGUUUCUAUCUUCUUAAGAUUGUUUUUUGUACGAAAGGAAUUGAACAAUUAGAAUUUCU
rnacentral:rRNA from 1 species